rnacentral:ncRNA from 1 species
AAGCAGUGCUGAACGCACAGGAGUCAGCAGAGGCCAUAGUAGCGGCAUUGCCGUGAAGGGC